UGGGGGAUAUUGCACAAUGGGCGAAAGCCUGAUGCAGCGACGCCGCGUGGGGGAUGAAGGCCUUCGGGUUGUAAACUUCUUUUGCUCUGAACAAGGCAUGCUAAUGGGUGUGUUGGGUGUAGGGGUUGAUUAGCGCCGGCUAACUACGUGCCAGCAGCCGCGGUAAUACGUAGGGCGCGAGCGUUGUCCGGAAUUAUUGGGCGUAAAGGGCUUGUAGGUGGCUGGUUGCGUCUGUCGUGAAAGCUCAUGGCUUAACUGUGGGUUUGCGGUGGGUACGGGCUGGCUUGAGUGCAGUAGGGGAGGCUGGAAUUCCUGGUGUAGCGGUGGAAUGCGCAGAUAUCAGGAGGAAUACCGGUGGCGAAGGCGGGUCUCUGGGCUGUUACUGACACUGAGGAGCGAAAGCAUGGGGAGCGAACAGG
rnacentral:rRNA from 1 species